rnacentral:rRNA from 1 species
AGUGAACGCUGGCGGUAUGCCUAACACAUGCAAGUCGAACGGCAGCACAGUAAGAUCUUGCUCUUACGGGUGGCGAGUGGCGGACGGGUGAGGAAUACAUCGGAAUCUACUUUUUCGGGGGGGAUAACGUAGGGAAACUUACGCUAAUACCGCAUACGACCUACGGGUGAAAGCAGUGGAUCUUCGGACCUUUCGCGAUUGAAUGAGCCGAUGUCGGAUUAGCUAGUUGGCGUGGUAAAGGCCCACCAAGGCGACGAUCCGUAGCUGGUCUGAGAGGAUGAUCAGCCACACUGGAACUGAGACACGGUCCAGACUCCUACGGGAGGCAGCAGUGGGGAAUAUUGGACAAUGGGCGCAAGCCUGAUCCAGCCAUACCGCGUGGGUGAAGAAGGCCUUCGGGUUGUAAAGCCCUUUUGUUGGGAAAGAAAAGCAGCAGGUUAAUACCCCGCUGUUCUGACGGUACCCAAAGAAUAAGCACCGGCUAACUUCGUG